rnacentral:rRNA from 1 species
UACGUAGGGGGCGAGCGUUGUCCGAAGUUACUGGGCGUAAAGCGCGCGUAGGCGGUCUCUUAAGUCCGGGGUGAAAGGUUCAGCGCUCAACGCGAACAGUGCCCUGGAGACUGGGGGACUUGAGUGUGGGAGGGGGCAGUGGAAUUCCUGGUGUAGCGGUGAAAUGCGUAGAUAUCAAGCGGAACACCGGUGGCGAAGGCGGCCUUCUGGACAGUGACUGACGCUGAGACGCGAAAGCGUGGGGAGCGAACAGG